rnacentral:rRNA from 1 species
AGAGUUUGAUCAUGGCUCAGGACGAAACGCUGGGCGGGCGUGCUUAAACACAUGCAAGUCGAGCGGAAAGGGCCACUUCGGUGGUACUCGAGCGGCGAACGGGUGAGUAACACGUGAGUAAUCUGCCCCUGGCUUUGGGAUAGCCACCGGAAACGGUGAUUAAUACCGGAUAUGACCGCUUCUCGCAUGGGUUGUGGUGGAAAGUUUUUCGGCCAGGGAUGUGCUCGCGGCCUAUCAGCUUGAUGGUGAGGUAAUGGCUCACCAUGGCUUCGACGGGUAGCCGGCCUGAGAGGGUGACCGGUCACACUGGGACUGAGACACGGCCCAGACUCCUACGGGAGGCAGCAGUGGGGAAUAUUGGACAAUGGGCGGAAGCCUGAUCCAGCAACGCCGCGUGAGGGAUGACGGCCUUCGGGUUGUAAACCUCUUUCAGUACCGACGAAGCGAUCCUUUUGGGGAGUGACGGUAGGUACAGAAGAAGCACCGGCCAACUACGUGCCAGCAGCCGCGGUAAUACGUAGGGUGCGAGCGUUGUCCGGAAUUAUUGGGCGUAAAGGGCUCGUAGGCGGUUUGUCGCGUCGGGAGUGAAAACCAGGUGCUUAACACCUGGCUUGCUUUCGAUACGGGCAGACUAGAGGUAUUCAGGGGAGAACGGAAUUCCUGGUGUAGCGGUGAAAUGCGCAGAUAUCAGGAGGAACACCGGUGGCGAAGGCGGUUCUCUGGGAAUAUCCUGACGCUGAGGAGCGAAAGUGUGGGGAGCGAACAGGAUUAGAUACCCUGUAGUCCACACCGUAAACGUUGGGCGCUAGGUGUGGGGUCCAUUCCACGGAUUCCGUGCCGCAGCUAACGCAUUAAGCGCCCCGCCUGGGGAGUACGGCCGCAAGGCUAAAACUCAAAGGAAUUGACGG